rnacentral:lncRNA from 1 species
AUCAAUAGAUAUUAGAUCCCCCUCAUUCUGGGAAUUAAUAGUUUAAUCAAACCAAUUUUUAAUGGUAUGGUAUUGGCUUUUUGUAUUUAGUGUUUGAUAUAUUGAUCUUGGAAACAGUUCCAAGUAGAAAACGUGGAGUAUAGGAAGUUAUAACAUUGUUUUAUCAAAUGUUCUUUUUACAGGUAGGCAGUUUGUUUGUUCUAUUAAAUUGAAGAAAACCCAUGUGUACAUAACAUUUCUUAAAUAGAAAAUUGUUAAAUUAAAGAAUUUAAAAGUACUAGAAAGACGAAGUAGUUAUACACAGUAAGUUAGGUAUAUAAUUAUAACUGUUGAAAAAAAAAUCUAUUUUAAAAAGUUUUAUAAGUUUUCUCGGAGGAAACAAACAGCAAAGGUAGGAAAAACUGAUGUUUUAUAAAAUAACUAAAAGAUAAAUCAAAAUUUAAAAAAUGUUAGACAGAAUUUAUGAAGGAAUUUCCAUAAUAUUUUAUGUUUAUAUAAUUUUCAAUAAUAUUGUUGAACCUAUAAAUUGACAUUCAUACAGUCAGAUGUAAAAGUCUUUAACAUGCAAUUUUCAUAGUAACGUCAGAAUUAUUUGCUGAUACUUUUGUUGUACUUUUGUUUUACCAUUAUUGUUAUCUUUUACUUUGUUGAACUGACAAAUAUUUGAAAUCAUGUUUUCAUUUUCUUUAAAGUAAAGCUAAGUGAAAAGUUAAUAUAUGUCAUCUUGUAUAACGUAGUAACUUUACAAACCAAUACAAAAUAUGGCAUUUUUGUCGAGCCUGCAACUUUUGUUGCAGAAAGCUCGACAUAGGGAUAGUGAUCCGGCGGCGGCUACGGCGGCGGCGGUGUUAGCUCACUUCUUAAAAGCGAUAUAUUUUAGAAGGUGGAAGACCUGGAUGCUUCAUAUUUUGUAUAUAGAUGCCUCAUGUUACGAAGUUUCCGUCAGUCACAUGUCCAUUGUCCUUGACCUCACUUUCAUGGUUCAGUGACCACUUGAAAAAAAAGUUCAGAUUUUUUGUAAUGUUAAAUUCUCUCUUACUGUAAGUAAUAGGAUAACUAUAUUUAGUAUGUGCGUACCUUGCAAGGUCCUCAUGCCCGUCAGACAGUUUUCACUUGACCUCAACCUCAUUUCAUGGAUCAGUGAACAAGGUUAAGUUUUGAUGGUCAAGUCCAUAUCUCAGAUACUAUAAGCAAUAGGUCUAGUAUAUUCGGUGUAUGGAAGGACUGUAAGGUGUACAUGUCCAACUGGCAGGUGUCAUCUGACCUUGACCUCAUUUUCAUGGUUCAGUGGUUAUAGUUAAGUUUUUGUGUUUUGGUCUGUUUUUCUCAUACUUUAUGCAAUAGGUUUACUAUAUUUGUUGUAUGGAAUGAUUGUAAGGUGUACAUGUCUAGCGGGCAGAUUUCAUCUGACCUUGGCCUCAUUUUCAUGGUUCAGUGGUAAUAGUUAAGUUUUUGUGUUUUGGUCUGUUUUUCUCAUACUUUAUGCAAUAGGUUUACUAUAUUUGUUGUAUGGAAUGAUUGUAAGGUGUACAUGUCUAGCGGGCAGAUGUCAUCUGACCUUGACCUCAUUUUCAUGGUUCAGUGGUCAAAGUUAAGUUUUUGAGUUUAGGUCUUUUUAUCUAAUACUAUAUGUCAUAGGUCAACUAUAUUUGGUGUAGGGAAAUAUUUUAUGAUCUAUUUGUCAGUUGUGCAGGUUUUAUUUGACCUUGACCUGGUUUUCACGGUUCAUUGCUCAGUGUCAAGUUUUUGUGUUUUGGUCUAUUUUCUUAAACUAUAAGCAAUAGGUCAACUAUAUUUGUUGUAUGGAAGCAUUGUUAGCUGUACAUGUCUGCCUGGCAUAUGGUUCAACUGACCUUGACCUCAUUUUCAUGGUUCAUGUUAAGUUUAUGUGACAGUCGUAAUAAAGCUUUGUAUUUAGGAUUAUCAACAUAAUAUCAAGGAUUAGUAAAGAAGGCGAGACAUUUCAGUGUGUGCACUCUUGUUAGUAUGAAGUCCAUUAUCACUGAGCUGGUGGAGAUAUUUGUUUAGGGGCCAGCUGAAGGACGCCUCAGGAUGCAGGAGUUUCUCGCUGCAUUGAAGACCCAUUGGUGACCUUCUGCUGUUGUCUGUUCUAUGGUCAGGUUAUGGUCUCUUUGACACAUUCCCCAUUUUCAUUCUCAAUUUUAUUACCUGAGUGGCAGUUGGUCAACAACUUCUUUGCUUCAGCCUUAUUAUAAGUUGUCUCUACCAUAUUUUCCUUCACCAAAACAAACUGACCACCAUUUAAUGUUAUGUCAGUAUUUAGAAAGUUGCUUUUAAACCCAAUCAAUCGGUAUGCCAAUUUUUAGUAGUAGUAGAUGGGUUGCUGUCUCAUUCAUGUUAUAUUCUCAUCCAUUUUUCAUCAGAAAGAAUACAGGUAUAUUUAAAUUUGAUCAUAAUUUUUAAGAUCUUUCUAAUAAAAAAAAGAAGUGUUAUGUAACUUAUCAAAUCAUACAUAUUUAGUAUACCUCAGUAGUAUACAAUACUAAAUUCAGAAAUUAUUGCGUGAAUUUAUUAUUGCGAUUUUGUGAUUUUAGUAUAAAAUACCAUUUUAAUUUUUGGAAUAUUGAGAAAAAUCCUUUUUAAUUCUUAUGAAUAAUUUCAAAAUGCGAGUUGAAAUUAUUGCAAUUAUAACCCUAUCACAUUUUUCGCAAUAAUAAAAACAUUGCAAUAAUUUUUGAUUUUACAAUAGUUGAAUUCAAAAUUUAUGACAAAUUUCGAAAAAAUAUCAAAGGACAAGUCAAUCUCAUGCCACAGUGUGUAUGUUUGUUUGUUAGUUCGUGUGUCUUACAUUUUGAUACAAUAUUGAUUGUUGAUUGAUGCAUUGACAAGAACUAUUAACUCAAAAUGAAAAAAGGCAAAAUUUAGAGAAAGGAUUUGUACUAUACUUUCCAAUAUCAUUGUUUCAUAGCUAUAAGCAUCUUAAUUAUCAGCUAUUAUGAUAAGUAGAUUUACUGUGAGAAAAGCAGCUAACACAUUUCUCACAAAAUCUUUGAUUAUAACGAUGGAAAACCCUCAAACAAUUACCGGUAAUUGUGAUUAAAAUUGAAUAAAGGUACACAGUUCCAUUUUAUAGUGUACAGUAAUUAUAAGAUUUUGUGGAAAUCUAGUCACUAUACUGUAAAUUCAGAAAUUAUUGCGAGGUUUUCAGUAAUGCGAAUAAUGCGACUGGAUGGGUAUCACGAUAAUAACAACUUGCAUUCUGAUAUCUGAAACAUAGAUCUGUAAGCAAUUUUUUUUGGAAAUCGCAAUGAUUAAACUCACAUUUUUGUCCAUUCUUGAAAAACCGCAAUAAGUAAUGGAUGCAAUAAUUUCUAAAUUUACAGUAGAUAAAAAUGUAAGCUUUAGAUAAGAGAUAUUCACAAUAGACAAAAAAUGAUGUUAUUUCACUAUUUUGAAGUGCUGAUUUAAACAAAGGAGUAGGGGCAAUAAGGCCCUGAUUUGGCUAAAAAAUUACUGUAAAUUUAAAAGUUAUCAUACAUAUUUUUAAAUUACUGUACAGUAUCUAAGACACAAGGUAUUCAGAAAAACAAAACAAUUUUGGACAUUGAACAAGUUGCCAUGGCAACAAAUCAUGACUUAAUUUGCAUAAUUUGUAAAAUUUCGUGAUUUUCUUUGUUUUUCGUUAAAUUUUUAAGUAUAUUUUAGAUUGAAAAAGUAUGUGGGCACCCAAGAAACAACUUAAUAUUUAGUGAUAUUUUGUUAAUAAUAUAUAGUUAUAAUAAAGCAUCUGUUAAAUAUCUUUGUUGUUUCUUGGCUGCGCACGAUGUUUCCACAACAGAAAUAAAGAGAGAAAACUGCAUAAAUUCUGUAUUUUUCAUCGUUUUUGUAAAAACAGUACAUAUUAUGACGUAAUUGGGACGUCAUCACAUAAAAAUCUUAAUGUUUUUAUGCCCCACCUACGAUAGUAGAGGGGCAUUAUGUUUUCUGGUCUGUGCCUCCGUUCGUUCGUCCGUCUGUCUGUGCGUCCGUCUGUGCAUCCGUUCGCUUCAGGUUAAAGUUUUUGGUCAAGGUAGUUUUUGAAGAAGUUGAAGUCCAAUCAUCUUGAAACUUAGUACACAUGUUCCCCAUGAUAUGAUCUUUCUAAUUUUAAUGCCAAAUUAUAGUUUUGACCCCAAUUUCGUGGUCCACUGAACAUAGAAAAUGAUAGUGCGAAGUUCAGGUUAAAGUUUUUGGUCAAGGUAGGUUUUGAUGAAGUUAAAGUUACAUCAACUUGAAACUUAGUACACAUGUUCCCUAUGAUAUGAUUUUUCUUAUUUUUAUUCCAAAUUAAAGGUUUAACCCCAAUUUUCACCGUCCACUGAACAUAGAAAAUGAUAGUGCGAGGGGCAUCCGUGUACUAUGGACACAUUCUUGUUCAUUGAUAUUUCUUGAUCCUAUGCAUUUCUAAACAUUAUGAAUAGAAUAGAAUAGAAUAGAAUAUUUUAAUAUUAAAGUGCAACCUGAAUUAUAACAAAAAUUACAUUCAUAUAUACAAGUAAUUUUCAGCCAGCCAAAUAGGCUUAUGAUGCUCUGUACAUUGUGUAUCAUUAUUGAAAAUAAAAUAAAUAAAUAAAUAUAGUUCAAAUUUACACGCAAAUUAUAGCAAGGCACGUUAACAGUUGAUUCUAGAUUGUCUGAUGGUAAAACAGUUCAAAAUAAAGUUAGAAACAAGCUUGCUGUAAUUACAAAAUAAAUGUUUUAAUUUGAUGUUUGCUGGUAGCGUAGUUAAGUCUAUGUUGUAUUUAUCUCGCAUUAUGUGCCAAUUUGAAAAAAUUAUCAUAAAUUUUAUUUUCUUGAGCCAAAACCAGGCCUUAAUGCCCCUACUCCUUUUUAAAACAACUUAAGAAUUUUGACCAAUGCUUAUUUGCAGUAUGUAUACAAAUUUGAAAAUUGGCUGCUGGUAAAAACUUUGUAAGAGUUCCUCCCCUAGAAACCAAAAUGACGUUUCUGUACUAUUUGAACUGUUAUUUCUAAAGCCAAAAAAAGUUGUACAGUCCUAAAGCUGUAUAGGGUGCAGUUAAACAUAGUUUUAAGAAUAGAUGAAAACAUUUUUUCAUGAUAUUCUGUGUGUUGGUCUUUUUAUUAUAUUUUAACUGUGCCUUGUAUUGCAAGAUAAAGUUUGAUGCUGUGUAUUUUAUUAAUUAAUUGAACAUUAAUACUGCUGAGUAAAAAUAAAAAAACUAAAAACUAUUGAAAUCUAGAUUGUCAUGAAAGUAAUUUGAGUAAUAGCAUCCAAUUACUUUAUCAUUAAUAAAACAUGUUACCAUAGAUUAAUUGCUACCAAUUUCACUGAAUUUGAUUUUGCAUAUAUAUUAUAGGAAAUAUGCUUGAUUUAUCUUGACAUACUGAAUAAGAAGCAAAUAAAAAUGAUAACUUAUAGUACUAAUUGCUAAGUUAGGUAACUACUAAGUACUGGCAUGAUCAAAAUGAUGCAUUUUGUCUUAAAACUUCCAUUUGAAAUAAAAUAAACAAUUGUUACUGAAUUGUUGGUUGACAUUAUAGAACAUAACUUUAAAAAAAGAAGAUGUGGUAUGAUACUCUCCACAAGAGACCAAAAUGACAUAGAAAUUAACAACUAUAGGUCACCGUAAGGCCUUCAACAAUGAGUAAAGGCCAUACUGCAUUGUCAGCUAUAAAAGGCCCCAAAAUGACAAUGUAAAACAAUUCAAACGAGAAAUUUUUCUUUUCUGGAAAGAAUAUAGAUUCCUUACAAGAGGUUCAUAUAAAUCUUAUAUCUUUUGUCUUUGCUGAAUAGCUGUCUCAUUAUAAUUGGCAAUCAAACACAGUGACAUACAAAAUUACUAAAUUACAAUCUAGACAAUUUAGAUCUUGACAAAUUGAUUAGACACUUGUUUAUUUUUUAAACUGUAUAUUUCUCUUUUGGUUUUAUUUGAGUGUUUCUAUUAUUGUUGUGUGUCUGUCUCAUCUCCUUCUUUUCAUUAAUACUCCUUAUGCUACAUGGACCUGGAUAACAUAAAAAAAUCAUUAUCUCUGUAAAAACUUAAAGCAAUUUGAGCCUUCUUUGUUAAACAAUUCAUGUCAGUUGGAGAAAUAUAGUACUGUAACUUCAGAAAAUUGCAACAAGAUAUGUUUUCACAAAAAUAAAAACUUGCAGUUUGAAUUCUUAUUGCAGUAUUUGUGUUCAACAUUUCCUGAAACUACAAUCAUUAGUCUCAUACAUGUAUCCAUAAUCCAAAAUUGCAAUAAUAAAUGUAUGCACACACAAUAUGAGUAAGCAGUUUUAAUCUGUGUAUCAUAACUAUUUCUGGUUUGCUGGUCCAUGCCAGAUUACCAUACAUGGUGUUAUAAUUAGAACCAUUUUAUAAAUCAUCAUAUAUUUUUAUUCCAGAUUAAGAGACUACAAAGAUGAAGAAACAAACAGAUUCACAAAUUUACAUACAAGCAUGUCUUGUCUUCCUUGUGUUCAUCUCUAUGACAACAGCAUCUGGUUACCAUGACUACUGUAUUAUUGGUGCUGGACCAGGAGGCCUUCAGUUAGGAUAUUAUUUGCAGCAACAGAAUAGAGACUAUAUUAUUUAUGAACGUACAAAUAUUUCAGGUA